UCCCUGGUGGUCCAGUGGUGAAGACUCUGCUCUCCCAAUGCAGGGAGCCCGGGUUCGAGCCCCGGUCAGGGAA